GCCUGAUGAAGGUCAAUCUUCCAUGCAUUGAACAAAACAAAAAUCAAUUUUUUAUUUCAUCAAAACAAUUGUAAGAGAAAAAGGAUCUAUAUAGCUAGCUCCAACUAGGGUAAUCAAGGCAAGAAAACCAUAGCAACUUCAAAUAGGAACAAGACAAAAUUACAAUGUGGAGGCAUGAACAAGAACUAAGAAUCUGAAGAAUGAUCUUCCAAAAACAUAGAAAUACCAGCUAGGUGACAAUUAAAUAUCCACAUAAACUUGGUUUCUAUGACAAAUGCAGAACAUGCUAUGCUACUGUCACAUAUAACUUAAGUAGAA
rnacentral:misc_RNA from 1 species